UGGACCUCCAACUGAAGAACUGGCAAG
rnacentral:piRNA from 1 species